rnacentral:misc_RNA from 1 species
GAAAUGCGAUAAGUAGUGUGAAUUGCAGAAUUCAGUGAAUCAUCGAAUCUUUGAACGCACAUUGCGCCCUUUGGUAUUCCUUAGGGCAUGCCUGUUCGAGCGUCAUUCAAACCUUCAAGCUCUGCUUGGUGUUGGGUGUCUGUCCCGCCCCGGCGCGGACUCGCCUCAAAUUCAUUGGCGGCCGGUACGUUGGCUUCGAGCGCAGCAGAAACGCGAUACUCGAGACCGGCGGGCCGGCUCCCAGAAGCUACAAAACUCAUGAUUUUGACCUCGGAUCAGGUAGGGAUACCCGCUGAACUUAA